GGUUCUGCCCUGGAGUUAGUUUGCUCUGGCUGCUGUAUCACAGGACCAAAAACCAACAAUACACAGAAGAUUAGCAUGGCCUCUGCACAAGGAUGACACGAAAAUUCACGAAACAUGUCAUAUUAAA
rnacentral:snRNA from 1 species